ensembl:lncRNA
GAGGAGGAGAGGGAGGGAGGCAGAGAGGAGAGGGAGGGAGGCAGAGAGGAGAGGGAGGGAGGCAGAGAGGAGGAAGAGAGGAGGGGAGUGAGGCAGAGAGGAGGAGAGUGAGCAGAGAGGAGGAGAGUGAGGCAGAGAGGAGUAGAGAGGCAGAGAGGAGUAGGGAGGCAGAGAGGAGGAAGAGAGGAGGGGAGUGAGGCAGAGAGGAGGAGAGUGAGGCAGGUAGGGAGGUAGAGAGGAGGAGUAGGGAGGCAGAGAGGAGGAGUAGGGAGGCAGUGAGGAGGAGAGGGAGGCAGUGAGGAGGAGAGGAGGCAGUGAGGAGGAGAGGGAGGCAGUGAGGAGGAGAGGAGGCAGUGAGGAGGAGAGGGAGGCAGUGAGGAGGAGAGGAGGCAGUGAGGAGGAGAGGGAGGCAGUGAGGAGGAGAGGGAGGCGGAGGGCUAAUUGUGAUGGGCUGGAGGCUGCGGCGAUUGGCAGCUGAGAUCCACCUCUGUCUUUGUACUCCUUGGCCCCCCUGCUCUCUCCCAGCGCUCCCCACCCAAGUGACAUAGGGGGGCUUUCGUAAUCACACCAGGGGUGCCCCGAGACACUACCACACCCCUCAACCCCUAUCAUUGAUCGGCCUCCCAGUCAACCCCUGACCCUGGCCCCCUCUGACCCCAUCCAGG